rnacentral:rRNA from 1 species
CCUACGGGAGGCUGCAGUGAGGAAAUUUGGUCAAUGGCCGGAAGGCUGAACCAGCCAUGCCGCGUGAAGGUCAGUGCCCUAUGGGCGUUAAACUUCUUUUGUGCGGGAGCAAUAAUGGUCACGUGUGGCCCGACGAGAGUACCGUACGAAUAAGCAUCGGCUAACUCCGUUCCAGCAGCCGCGGUAAUACGGGGGAUGCAAGCGUUUUCCGGAUUUAUUGGGUUUAAAGGGUGCGUAGGCUGGGAGGUAAGUCAGCGGUGAAAUGCCCCCGCUCAACGGGGUGAAGUGCCAUUGAUACUGCCGGGCUGGAAUGCGGAUGCCGUGGGAGGAAUGUGUGGUGUAGCGGUGAAAUGCAUAGAUAUCACACAGAACACCGAUUGCGAAGGCAUCUCACGAAUCCGCGAUUGACGCUGAUGCACGAAAGCGUGGGUAUCAAACAGGAUUAGAUACCCCAGUAGUC